rnacentral:rRNA from 1 species
AUGGCCUCGCAGAACACCGGGUCUGGAUCGGCAUCUUCUUUGGGCAGUCUAUUUGAUUCUGAUGAUGAAGAAAACAGUGCCCCGUCUGUGCUCUCGAUAGAAGCUAACCCUGAUACCGAGGAGCUAGAUUCUUCCUCAAAAAAGAGGUCUUAUUUACUGAGCAAGAUGAGCUUCUCGAAGCAACACGUUGAUUUGGCAGUCAGUGAGUUAGGUGAGGGAGCAUCAAUUGAUCAGCUUGUGAACUGGAUUGUGACUGCCCAAGAAGCUACAACUGAGGGAAAUGCUGAAUUUCUGCCUGCGCAAAUGGAUAAACCGCAUUCUUUGCUCCAGAUGGGGUUUACUCAACAAGAAGUCUCAAUUGCUAUUGAAGCUUUCGGUCAAGAAGCCAAAGUUGAGGAGCUCGCUGACGCAAUUCUGGCAAGACGCAUUGCAAAUAACAUUGAGCAGAAAGAAGAAACUGCUGAAUUGCUGCCUGAGGUAAUGGAUAAACCACUUUCUUUGCUCAAGAUGGGUUUCAAUAAAGAAGAGGUCUCAUCUGUGAUUGCUAUUUUCGGUGAGGAAGCAACAGUCGAGGAGUUGGCUGACUCCAUAUUCGCAAGACGCUUCUCAAAUACCACUCAGCAGAAAAAAGUGAGGAUAGAGUCUGAAUUUCCGGACGAGACAGAAACUGAGUAUUCAAUUUCGAGAUUGAGGUUCUAUGAUGAUUAUGAUGCCAACAUCAGGCGUAAAAAGGCCAAGCAUGCAUUUGGAGAUGACAGAAGGGCGUCAAGCAGUCAGAAUGUUAAUCAAUCUAGCCGCACUCCAUGGUUAAGUCGUUGUUCUGGGUCAAUUGCUAAUGGUUCUCUGAACGAUGAAUGUCUUGAAAGGACGUCAAGCCUUGGUAGAAACAUCCGUGCCGACUUUGCCAAGCCUCCUUUCUUCAUCUAUGCAAGUCUGGUUGACAUCAGCAAAGACAGUUGGAAUACGUUAUCGAGUUUCUUAUUCAAUGUUCAACCGGAGUAUCUAAACAGUCAGUCGUUCUCGGCUCUGACGCGAAGGGAGGGUUACAUUCAUAACCUUCCAACGGAGGGAAGGCACGUCACGGUUCCAAGGUCACCAAUGACGAUCAGAGAUGCAUUACCUUUGACAAGGCAGUUCUGUCCCUUCUGGGACACGAGAAAAUGGAUUGAUGGUGUUGGCUUAGAUGUGGCAGGAAAUGAACAGAUUCGUGACAAGCUGGAGAAGGCAAUGAAAGAUUCACGAGGAAUCCCUUCAGAAGUGAAGCAAGCACAGAUUGUCCAGCAAUGCAAGACGGCGAAUCUUGUCUGGAUCGGCCAAGGCAAGUUAGGCCCUCUGCAGCCACACCAGAUGGAAAUGAUACUAGGCUAUCCAGCUAACCACACAGAUCUGCCGGGCAUAGACCCACAAGACAAGGUUGCUUCUAUGAGGUUUGCCUUGCAAACUGAUACCAUAGCAUACCUUUUGUCGGUCCUAAAGGACCGGUAUCCUGAUGGGCUGAGAGUGAUCUCUAUCUACAGUGGAAUCGGGGGUGCAGAAGUCGCUCUACACCGUCUUGGAAUUCCGCUGAGGUGCGUGGUGUCCGUAGAGGAGUCUGUGGUGAACCGUAGAGUUCUAAAGAUGUGGUGGAGAAAAACCCAGCAGAACGGAAAGCUGAGACAACUGGAUAGGAUACAGAAGCUAGAUACUAAGGAGUUUGAGGCCCUGAUGAAAGAGUUUGGUGGUUUUGACCUGAUUGUUGGCGGAAAUUAUGGUCUGUACAGAGGCACAGUGAUGACAGUGGGCACGACCAUGGGUAUGGACACAAAUCGGUUCUUUGAGUAUGUCCGCAUUGUCCAGAUGGUGAGAAGAAAAAUGCAAGGAAUUGCCUGA